UUACUUGAACAGGAUCUGUUCUAUAGGCUCGUACCUCUGUAUCCUUGAGUUCUAAGGAGACAGGAAACUAAGCUUGGUGGAUGAACUACAGCCAAAAU